AUUGAACGCUGGCGGCAUGCCUUACACAUGCAAGUCGAACGGCAGCACGGGUGCUUGCACCUGGUGGCGAGUGGCGAACGGGUGAGUAAUACAUCGGAACAUGUCCUGUAGUGGGGGAUAGCCCGGCGAAAGCCGGAUUAAUACCGCAUACGAUCUACGGAUGAAAGCGGGGGACCUUCGGGCCUCGCGCUAUAGGGUUGGCCGAUGGCUGAUUAGCUAGUUGGUGGGGUAAAGGCCUACCAAGGCGACGAUCAGUAGCUGGUCUGAGAGGACGACCAGCCACACUGGGACUGAGACACGGCCCAGACUCCUACGGGAGGCAGCAGUGGGGAAUUUUGGACAAUGGGCGAAAGCCUGAUCCAGCAAUGCCGCGUGUGUGAAGAAGGCCUUCGGGUUGUAAAGCACUUUUGUCCGGAAAGAAAUCCUUGGCUCUAAUACAGUCGGGGGAUGACGGUACCGGAAGAAUAAGCACCGGCUAACUACGUGCCAGCAGCCGCGGUAAUACGUAGGGUGCAAGCGUUAAUCGGAAUUACUG
rnacentral:rRNA from 1 species